rnacentral:tRNA from 1 species
GCUUUUGAAAGAUUACAGACAUCUAUUGGUCUUAGGAACCAAAAACUCUUGGUGCAAUUCCAAGCAAAAGCU